GGCGAGGGGAGUGAAAAAGAACCUGAAACCGUGUACGUACAAGCAGUGGGAGCACAGGUUUACCUGUGUGACUGCGUACCUUUUGUAUAAUGGGUCAGCGACUUAUAUUCUGUAGCAAGGUUAACCGUAUAGGGGAGCCGGAGGGAAACCGAGUCUUAAUUGGGCGUUAAGUUGCAGGGUAUAGACCCGAAACCCGGUGAUCUAGCCAUGGGCAGGUUGAAGGUUGGGUAACACUAACUGGAGGACCGAACCGAC
rnacentral:rRNA from 2 species